rnacentral:rRNA from 1 species
UGGUGAAUUUUGGACAAUGGGGGAAACCCUGAUCCAGCCAUCCCGCGUGUGCGAUGAAGGCCUUCGGGUUGUAAAGCACUUUUGGCAGGAAAGAAACGUCAUGGGUUAAUACCCCGUGAAACUGACGGUACCUGCAGAAUAAGCACCGGCUAACUACGUGCCAGCAGCCGCGGUAAUACGUAGGGUGCAAGCGUUAAUCGGAAUUACUGGGCGUAAAGCGUGCGCAGGCGGUUCGGAAAGAAAGAUGUGAAAUCCCAGAGCUCAACUUUGGAACUGCAUUUUUAACUACCGGUCUAGAGUGUGUCAGAGGGAGGUGGAAUUCCGCGUGUAGCAGUGAAAUGCGUAGAUAUGCGGAGGAACACCGAUGGCGAAGGCAGCCUCCUGGGAUAACACUGACGCUCAUGCACGAAAGCGUGGGGAGCAAACAGG